UUAAGCGACUAAGCGUACACGGUGGAUGCCCUGGCAGUCAGAGGCGAUGAAGGACGUGCUAAUCUGCGAUAAGCGUCGGUAAGGUGAUAUGAACCGUUAUAACCGGCGAUUUCCGAAUGGGGAAACCCAGUGUGAUUCGUCACACUAUCAUUAACUGAAUCCAUAGGUUAAUGAGGCGAACCGGGGGAACUGAAACAUCUAAGUACCCCGAGGAAAAGAAAUCAACCGAGAUUCCCCCAGUAGCGGCGAGCGAACGGGGAGCAGCCCAGAGCCUGAAUCAGUGUGUGUGUUAGUGGAAGCGUCUGGAAAGGCGCGCGAUACAGGGUGACAGCCCCGUACACAAAAAUGCACAUACUGUGAGCUCGAUGAGUAGGGCGGGACACGUGGUAUCCUGUCUGAAUAUGGGGGGACCAUCCUCCAAGGCUAAAUACUCCUGACUGACCGAUAGUGAACCAGUACCGUGAGGGAAAGGCGAAAAGAACCCCGGCGAGGGGAGUGAAAAAGAACCUGAAACCGUGUACGUACAAGCAGUGGGAGCCUCUUAAUGGGGUGACUGCGUACCUUUUGUAUAAUGGGUCAGCGACUUAUAUUCUGUAGCAAGGUUAACCGAAUAGGGGAGCCGAAGGGAAACCGAGUCUUAACUGGGCGUUAAGUUGCAGGGUAUAGACCCGAAACCCGGUGAUCUAGCCAUGGGCAGGUUGAAGGUUGGGUAACACUAACUGGAGGACCGAACCGACUAAUGUUGAAAAAUUAGCGGAUGACUUGUGGCUGGGGGUGAAAGGCCAAUCAAACCGGGAGAUAGCUGGUUCUCCCCGAAAGCUAUUUAGGUAGCGCCUCGUGAAUUCAUCUCCGGGGGUAGAGCACUGUUUCGGCAAGGGGGUCAUCCCGACUUACCAACCCGAUGCAAACUGCGAAUACCGGAGAAUGUUAUCACGGGAGACACACGGCGGGUGCUAACGUCCGUCGUGAAGAGGGAAACAACCCAGACCGCCAGCUAAGGUCCCAAAGUCAUGGUUAAGUGGGAAACGAUGUGGGAAGGCCCAGACAGCCAGGAUGUUGGCUUAGAAGCAGCCAUCAUUUAAAGAAAGCGUAAUAGCUCACUGGUCGAGUCGGCCUGCGCGGAAGAUGUAACGGGGCUAAACCAUGCACCGAAGCUGCGGCAGCGACGCUUAUGCGUUGUUGGGUAGGGGAGCGUUCUGUAAGCCUGCGAAGGUGUGCUGUGAGGCAUGCUGGAGGUAUCAGAAGUGCGAAUGCUGACAUAAGUAACGAUAAAGCGGGUGAAAAGCCCGCUCGCCGGAAGACCAAGGGUUCCUGUCCAACGUUAAUCGGGGCAGGGUGAGUCGACCCCUAAGGCGAGGCCGAAAGGCGUAGUCGAUGGGAAACAGGUUAAUAUUCCUGUACUUGGUGUUACUGCGAAGGGGGGACGGAGAAGGCUAUGUUGGCCGGGCGACGGUUGUCCCGGUUUAAGCGUGUAGGCUGGUUUUCCAGGCAAAUCCGGAAAAUCAAGGCUGAGGCGUGAUGACGAGGCACUACGGUGCUGAAGCAACAAAUGCCCUGCUUCCAGGAAAAGCCUCUAAGCAUCAGGUAACAUCAAAUCGUACCCCAAACCGACACAGGUGGUCAGGUAGAGAAUACCAAGGCGCUUGAGAGAACUCGGGUGAAGGAACUAGGCAAAAUGGUGCCGUAACUUCGGGAGAAGGCACGCUGAUAUGUAGGUGAAGUCCCUUGCGGAUGGAGCUGAAAUCAGUCGAAGAUACCAGCUGGCUGCAACUGUUUAUUAAAAACACAGCACUGUGCAAACACGAAAGUGGACGUAUACGGUGUGACGCCUGCCCGGUGCCGGAAGGUUAAUUGAUGGGGUUAGCGGUAACGCGAAGCUCUUGAUCGAAGCCCCGGUAAACGGCGGCCGUAACUAUAACGGUCCUAAGGUAGCGAAAUUCCUUGUCGGGUAAGUUCCGACCUGCAC
rnacentral:rRNA from 14 species